UAAUCGACACGAUCGACUCCCGCGACAUAAACACACAUCCCCACCCGUCUGACAUUUGAUAGGAGAACGGGUCGCGGGGAGUGUCAUUGCAGUGUCGAAAGUCGUCGCGUAAGGAUCUGUCAAUUUUCGUUGUUCGCGAUUUAUUAAUUAACUGCAUAGUAUGUUCACUCAUAUUCCGCUGCCUUCGUACGCUAUUAUUAGGUUGCUCGACCAUAGCGGGACGAUAACUGGGAAUUCAAAAUAGCGUCGUUUGGACGCCAUGAUGAUUAACAGUCAAUUUGUCAGCUUCUCAUGGAGAUUGAGUUAGAUAUUUCACGAUCUGUACUUCUACCGUAAGGUUUGAUGAAUCUUCCGGGAUGACGACCUUCACGGUGGUUUCCUCUGAGCUACGUGAACAUUGUCGACAUCGUUCUU